UUUGGGCAAAGUUGCCCCCACAAUAGACUAAAAUUGGAACAUUACAGAGAUUAGCAGGGCUCCUGUGCAAGGAUGAUAUGCAAAUUCGUGAAGCUCUCCGUAUCUUU